rnacentral:rRNA from 1 species
AAACCAACAGGGAUUGCCUUAUUAACGGCGAGUGAAGCGGCAAAAGCUCAAAUUUGAAAGCUAGCACCUUCGGUGUUCGCGUUGUAAUUUGAAGAUAGUUUCCUUGAGUAGUCCUUUAUCUAUGUUCCUUGGAACAGGACGUCAUAGAGGGUGAGAACCCCGUAUGAUUUUGGAUACUACUCUUUGUGGGAUUCUAUCGAAGAGUCGAGUUGUUUGGGAAUGCAGCUCUAAGUGGGUGGUAAAUUCCAUCUAAAGCUAAAUAUUGGCGAGAGACCGAUAGCGAACAAGUACAGUGAUGGAAAGAUGAAAAGAACUCUGAAGAGAGAGUGAAAAAGUACGUGAAAUUGCUGAAAGGGAAGGGCUUGAGGUCAGACUUGGUGUUUAAUGAUUAUCAGUUCUUCUUGGACUGUGCACUCGUUUUUCACCGGGCCAAUAUCAGUUUUAGCGGUACAGUACCCCUUGAAAUGUGGCUUCCUUCGGGGAGUGUUAUAGUCUUGGGGAGAUCUACUUGCUGGGACUGAGGACUGCGCUUCGGCAAGGAUAUUGGCGUAAUGACCUUAAGCCGC